rnacentral:rRNA from 1 species
GAUGAACGCUGGCGGCGUGCUUAACACAUGCAAGUCGAACGGAAAGGCUCCUGCUUGCAGGGGUACUCGAGUGGCGAACGGGUGAGUAACACGUGGGUGAUCUGCCCUGCACUUCGGGAUAAGCCUGGGAAACUGGGUCUAAUACCGGAUAGGACGAUGGUUUGGAUGCCAUUGUGGAAAGUUUUUCGGUGUGGGAUGAGCUCGCGGCCUAUCAGCUUGUUGGUGGGGUAAUGGCCUACCAAGGCGUCGACGGGUAGCCGGCCUGAGAGGGUGUACGGCCACAUUGGGACUGAGAUACGGCUCAGACUCCUACGGGAGGCAGCAGUGGGGAAUAUUGCACAAUGGGCGCAAGCCUGAUGCAGCGACGCCGCGUGGGGGAUGACGGCCUUCGGGUUGUAAACUCCUUUCGCUAGGGACGAAGCGCAAGUGACGGUACCUGGAGAAGAAGCACCGGCUAACUACGUG